AAGCCGCGAGGCAGAGNGACCCCAAAAAGACCGUCCCAGUUCGGAUCGCAGGCUGCAACCCGCCUGCGUGAAGUCGGAAUCGCUAGUAAUCGCGGAUCAGCAUGCCGCGGUGAAUACGUUCCCGGGCCUUGUACACACCGCCCGUCACACCAUGAGAGUUGGGGAUACCCGAAGCCUGUGAGCCAACUGUAAAGAGGCAGCAGUCGAAGGUAGAAUCAAUGAUUGGGGUGAAGUCGUAACAAGGUAAC
rnacentral:rRNA from 1 species